CGGGGCGUGGCUCAGCUGGUAGAGCACUCGGUUCGGGACCGAGAGGCCGCUGGUUCAAAUCCAGUCGCCCCGA
rnacentral:tRNA from 1 species